AUACGUAGGUGGCGAGCGUUGUCCGGAAUUACUGGGUGUAAAGGGCGUGUAGGCGGGAUUGUAAGUCAGAUGUGAAAUUCCAGGGCUUAACUCUGGAGGUGCAUCUGAAACUAUAAUUCUUGAGCACUGGAGAGGAAAGCGGAAUUCCUAGUGUAGCGGUGAAAUGCGUAGAUAUUAGGAAGAACACCGGUGGCGAAGGCGGCUUUCUGGACAGUAACUGGCGCUGAGGCGCGAAAGCGUGGGGAGCAAACAGGAUUAGAUACCCUGGUAGUCCACGCUGUAAACGAUGGAUACUAGGUGUAGGAGGUAUCGACCCCUUCUGUGCCGGAGUUAACACAAUAAGUAUCCCACCUGGGGAGUACGACCGCAAGGUUGAA
rnacentral:rRNA from 1 species